GGAGAGAUGGUCGAGUGGUUUAAGGCGUAGCAUUGAAAUUGUUAUGUAGGUUUUUGUUUAUCGAGGGUUCGAAUCCCUCUCUUUCCG
rfam:Capsicum annuum cultivar Zunla-1 chromosome 4, whole genome shotgun sequence